CAAAGUGUAGCUUAACUAAAGCGUCUGGCCUACACCCAGAAGAUUUCAUUACUUAUG
rnacentral:tRNA from 1 species